AGAAUCAACGCUGGCGGCGUGCCUCAGACAUGCAAGUCGAACGCGAAAGUCCCCUUCGGGGGAUGAGUAGAGUGGCGCACGGGUGAGUAACACGUAGGUAAUCUACCUUUGGAUGGGGAAUAACAACCGGAAACGGUUGCUAAUACCGCAUAAUGCAGCGGCACCUAAUGGUGACAGUUGUUAAAGCGGGGGAUCGAAAGACCUCGCGUCUGAAGAGGAGCCUGCGGCGGAUUAGCUAGUUGGUAAGGUAACGGCUUACCAAGGCGACGAUCCGUA
rnacentral:rRNA from 1 species